CCCGAGGCAUGUGGAAGUCCGUGGGCCAGAGAUCAAACCCAUCACAGCAAUGACAAUGCCAGAUCCUUAACCUGCUGAGCCAUCAGGGAACUCCUGGGUCAGCUUUUUACAGGCAUUCCUUCUCCCCAAGGGCACAGGAUGGUGGCCAUAGUAGCAAGCAUCACAUCUAAAAAUAAUCAUGUCCUGGGCAGGCAGGCAGGCAGGGGUUUCUGUUUUAGCCAGAGGAAGAUUCUUUUCCAAACCUACUAGAAGAUUUCCCCUCAGUACCUCUUGACCAGAAUUGAGCCACAUGCUUGUGCUCCAGAUACUUGAGACCUCUCGCCUUCGUCGUCCAGGUUGGUGCUGUGGCACUUUCACUGUCCCUGCUGUGGCUCUGAACCAGUGGCAUGAUGGAAGCAACAAGGUUUCACCUUGCACGUGGCUCACUUCUCUGGCGUUUCUCGCAGUCUGCCUGGUGUCCUUCUAAGAAGAGGAAAUUUGGGCACAGAGCACCGGGAGGCACCUUCACAGAGAACAGGCUGUGGAGAAAUUCAAGGGGAAGGUGGCCGUCUCCAAGCCAGAGAGAGAGGCCUCGGAAGGAAGCCAACUUGCCAACACCUUGAUUUGGACGUCCGGCCCCCAGAACUAUGAGAAAAUAAACCUCUCGUUUAAGCCCCCCA